rnacentral:rRNA from 1 species
UACAGAGGUGGCAAACGUUGUCCGGAUUUAUUGGGUGUAAAGGGCAUGUAGGUGGUUUUGUAAGUCAAAGGUGAAAUGGCCCGGCUCAACCAGGUCAUUGCCUUUGAAACUGCAGAGCUUGAGUACGGAAGAGGAAAGCGGAAUUCCCAGUGUAGCGGUGAAAUGCGUAGAUAUUGGGAGGAACACCGGUGGCGAAGGCGGCCCCCUGGUUGGAUACUGACGCUGAGACGCGAAAGCGUGGGGAGCAAACAGG